rnacentral:lncRNA from 1 species
CUCCCCAGGUGCACACUGACCCCCGGCCGCCCCCACCUCCGCAGGUGCGCCCUGACCCCGACCGUUCCCUCCUCAGGUGCUCACUGACCCCCAACCGUCCCCUCCCCAGGUGCGCACUGACCCCCGGCCGCCCCCUCCCAAGGUGUGCACGGACCCCCGGCUGCCCCCGCCGCAGGUGCGCACUGACUCCGCGACUGCUGCCUCUCCAGGUGUGCACCGACCCCUGGACUGCCCCGUCUCCAGGUGGCCGUCUCCUACUGCCACCUCCCCAGAUUUGCUAAGUUAUUUCUGAUUAAACCUAAACCAACUCUUCAGCCGCGCCGUCUCAGGGACCCCAAGCCCCGCUCUGGUGGACGCCUGGAGCCGCCGCCUCCCUAGAGUCCACACCCCAUCUUGACUCAAGCCUGCACUGGGUGGGUAUCACAGCG